GCUGUAGUAGCAAAGUGGUUAAUGCAAAAGAUUUAGGAUCUUUCAACGUGGGUUCAAGUCCUUCCUCCAGCU
rnacentral:tRNA from 1 species